rnacentral:RNase_P_RNA from 1 species
GGAGUAGGCGAGGCGGUUGCCCCUUCUUCUCUUCGUGAGAAAGAGGGAGAGGAAAGUCCGAACUCCAAAGGACAGGAUGGUCGCUAACAGCGACUCCGGGCGACCGGAGGAAAGUGCCACAGAAAAUAUACCGCCUCAUGAAAUGACGGUUUCGCUCAUUUCGUGGGGUAAGGGUGAAAAGGUGAGGUAAGAG